GUGUGUUUUAUUUUUCAAAAGAUACUAUACUAGAUACAAGAUUGCAACGAAAAAGUAGCUUAAUAAAAAAGGAAUUUUUCUUUUAGAACCUCUUUGAUGUCAAGAGUACAACAGUUUUGAAAUAUUAUUUUCUUGGACUUACAUUCUAAGAUAAUCCUCGCUCCUUAUGACUUAUUUGCCUUCACAUAUGUUUUCUUUUAAUUUAGGUUACAUUCUUAAAGGUGAAUUUCAAGGCAGGACUAUGAUUCAAAAAUUAUCUUUCGUCACAAGCAGUUAUAUCUGAAUGAUGAAUUUUUAUA
rnacentral:lncRNA from 1 species